UAGCUCAACUGGUCAGAGCAUGGCAUUAACGCCGCCAGGGUUUGGGGUUCGAUUCCCACCGCGAUUCGAUUCCCACCCA